GAGAAACAAAUUGUGACAAGUUUUUGUGAAGGGGGAAACAUAGCACCUUCAAAUAUUUGGUCACUGUUACAAGAAAGCUGCAGAAACCAGGAGCAGUUACCUUUUCUUCACUAUUUUCUGCUUUGUUUGUAAAAGAAAGUGGACAUUAAUGCCUUAACAUGUGAAGCAAAAAUAACUUGGUUCUGAAAAUUGAGGAAAAGAGAAACAAAGUGAGUUUAUUCAUAUCACCAUCAAAUGACAUAUAAAGGUACUGCUAGAAACACUAGUUACAGAGAGAGGUCCAUUCAUACACACAAACUUGUUUAUUUUUUUGCACUAGUUGAUACACUUUGUUAUCUCUUGAAUGCAUCUUGUUAGGCAUUUUUGGACUGAUUCUUCUUCUCACAAAGCUGUUUUAUCACCUCAACAACUCCAUCCAUCUCUUUCUCCCUUAGCAAUUUUAUAUUCUCACCAAGACUCUUCACUUUCUUCCUCAAGUCCUCCCCAAUUUUUUCAUCAAAAAUCACAUCUUUGAUAGUCUCAGCUAUAUAACCUCUAUGAAUCUUCCCAUUCCCAUCUCUGGCCAUCUCAACAGCUACUCCAUUUUCCACAAGCAAUCUAGCAUUCAGAGGCUGAUCUGAGUAAAAGUUCAUAGGCAAAGCUAUGAUUGGAACACCAAACUCUAUGCUUUCAAGUGUGGAAUUCCAACCAGAGUGAGUUACAAAUGCUCCAAUACUUGGAUGCUAUAGAAUUCUUGUCUGUGGAGCCCAUCCUUCAACUAUCCUUCCCCUUUCUCCAAUUCUUUCAAGAAAACCUUGAGGAAGUACCUCUUCAAGUUUAACAACAUGUUCUCCUCUUGGAAACCUUACAACCCAAAUGAAAUGAACAUUGCUAAGCUCUAAUCCAGAAGCUACCUCUUUCAUUUCUUCCUUUGUCAAGAAAUUCUCACUCCCAAAUGAGACAAACAGAGUUGAAUGCUCUUUUCUCUUCCCAAGCCAUUGAAUGAUUUCCAUAUCCCCUACAUCAUCUUCUUCAUUGACAAGAUCUUGAAUUACCACUCCAGUAGGCAGGAUGUUUGAUCUGCCUACUUCAGAAAGAUAAUCUAUGUACUUUCCUUCUAUUGCUCUAGAGGUAUUCACCAGCAUGACUCUCUCAUCUUCUUCAUCCACUUCAACAUCAUAGGGAUGCUCUAUCUGUUGCUCAUAGUCCUUGAGAUAGAGAGCUGGGAAAGGGAAUUCAACUCCUGGUUUGAAAUGGAAAUGGCCAAAAUAACAACACAUAGCAACACUUGUAAUGCAAAAUUUUAUGAUUGGGAUGUUGAGACUUACUGCAACCCUUGCUGCCCAUGGUUGCAUUACAUCAACUACUAACACAUCUGGUUUUGUAUCAUUCAGGAUUUGGUGAAGUUGUGGUUCUGACAUCAUGAGGGCUUUGUAGAGGGUAGAUUGAAGAUGGAGUGGGAG
rnacentral:lncRNA from 1 species